GUGGGGGCAUUUUAUCCUCUGACGACAAACACCACGGCAACAAGUAGGAUGUUUUCGUUUCAUCCGUUAAAGCUGAAAUCAAGCCUGGGAUGCAUUUUUGAGGCUCUUACCAAGAUGUCAUAAGAAACCCCAAUGGAGGCCAUGGCCUAAGUGCUCCCCACUUCUUGUCUGCUGCCUCCUGACUACUCUGGAGUUUCUCCAUAAUGGUGCUGGGUGGUGUGCUCUGUCUCCUGUCUCUAGGACCUAUGGGAAGCAGGAGCUACCUAAGAUACUGUUACUGAGGAUGAACUCAGUACAUUGAAUUACUACUGGGGUAACUCUCCUUUUCCCCAGUGGCAUUGGCUCCAUCCAUUGAACAGAUAAGGAGCGGAGGCACACAAGAUGGCUUCAGCUGUCAAGUUUACACCCCAGACUCUCAAGAGAAGAAAGAAGGAAGGGAAAAAAAGGCCCACGUCUACACUGGGCUGACUCCCUUUAAAGAGACUUCUCAGCUGUCCCACACCAUAAUUCUGCUUUCAUCUCACUAGUCCGAACUCAGUGUCAAAGUCACCUCUAACUGCAAAGAGGCUUGGAAAUGCAGUGCUUCAGCUGGGAAAACAUGAUAGAGAAAGACACAGAGGGCCCCCAAGCUGCAGAUCCUGCCAGAAUUCUAAGGCAUUUUACGUGAACUACAUGAAGAAGUCGACAAGACCAACAAUAUUUAUAAGUGUUCUCUGUUGUAAGAUAUAUUUUGAUAUAAUUAACAACAGUUCUGAGAAAACAGGCAGGACGUUUGAGGAAACAGGCAGGAGAGGACAACUGGCUGGAAAGAGGCAGAUGAAGAGUUCCAUCUGGCAAAGAUAGAGCACAAAAGAUAAUCUGGGUCACAUUUUGGAGAUAUUGAUUAAAAGUUAACCAACAAAUAUUAACAGAUUUCCCACUCAGAAGAGGGAGAUUUACUUAUUUUGGCCCAGAGGCUAAAGUCAAGGCUAUAGGUGGCUCUCCGUUGACUCCUCUGGAACAUUGUGGAUGGGAAAAUAAGCAGUACUCGUGGAGGUAAUGUGUCAGGCAAGGCUCAUCUCGGGCAACAACCACUUUCCUCUGCAGUGACCCCAUUUCGCUUGUGGAUCAAAAAGACGUAGCCAGGAAAAGUGAGGACUGGGACUGGGCACCCGGCGUGGGGCCGAGCUGAGCCAUUGAUCAGAAGGAACUCAAGUACAAUCCACACAGGGCAGUUCUGCAGCAUUUGCUCUCCAGCCUUUUGCUUCCUCUGACUGCAUUCAUCAUUGCCUUACCAGGGGUUAGAUCAAUCUAUUGCCUUUAAAACUUGCAGUAAAGCAUCUCUUUUGAAGAAUGUGCUCUGAGGGAGAGAUCAUACUUCUUUAAAACAACCUUCUGUCGGUCUGUUUGUCCAAUGCAGGUUUCCCAGAUGCCUCAUUAGAAUUUCAUUCCAAGAGCUGGCUUUCAGACCACAUUGAGCAAAUCCUCUUAAAGGUGUUAGUUGGCAUAUCAUCUUGUUAGAGGUUUCUAGAGAAGAGAAAAGUCUACUAAAUUCAGAGACAUUCUUUCCUAAUAUUGGAAUUCAAGCACCGUGACAAGUCUAUGAGAGAGAGAAAUUGUUCUCGAAGCCUGCCAUACCCAAAACGGUUUAGACUGCUUUCACAUUCCGAUACUCGACUAAAGAGUUAAUGAAGACUGUGUCUUAGCACCGGUGGUAUUUAUUUAACGUGCACUAUAAUCCCAGCUGACACUUCCUAAUGAGUUUAUUGCUGCUGUGGAGUUAAAGCUCCCCCACUCAAUAAGCAUAAACUUGAGUGUCAGAAAUGAAACAUAGUCAGCCCUGGUGCUUAAAUGGCCUGUAUCGAUCCUCCGGCAGUCUAACUGCUGUAGUCUGGUGCCAGUUCUCUAAUUUGUGCCCUGAAGUGUGCAGCCACACUUGAUUUAGAUGUCAGAAUGAGGCAGCACUCAGUUUGAGAAAUCAGCUGAAACAUUCUUAAAAAAAUUGGUCUGGAUAGCUUCACCUUGCAUUGUAAAGAUCAUUGCUCUCGUGUAAACAAGGGGCUAAAUAAUAUUAUUCCCAUAGACUUUUUUGAGGGUGUUUUAUCAAAGGAAAUGUCCUCAGAGUCAAAGCUUGCUGUGUUUUGUGCUUUAUCUGUACAGAAAAUUCCAUUUAGAGAAAUUUAAUGCCAAAGCUGUAAGAUCUGCAUUCCUAGAGAAUGACUAUUUAGGGCAUUGUCUUUGAAUAUGAAGUAAACACACACUGAGAAUGUU